AUCAACUUUCGAUGGUAGGAUAAAGGCCUACCAUGGUGGUAACGGGUAACGGGGAAUUAGGGUUCGAUUCCGGAGAGGGAGCCUGAGAAACGGCUACCACUUCCAAGGAAGGCAGCAGGCGCGCAAAUUACCCAAUCCCGACACGGGGAGGUAGUGACAAUAAAUAACAAUACGGGGCUCUUUAGGGUCUCGUAAUUGGAAUGAGUACAAUUUAAAUCCCUUAACGAGGAACAAUUGGAGGGCAAGUCUGGUGCCAGCAGCCGCGGUAAUUCCAGCUCCAAUAGCGUAUAUUAAAGUUGUUGCAGUUAAAAAGCUCGUAGUUGAAUUUCGGGAUUGACGUGAUGGUCGUGCCUUACGGGGUAUGAACUGUUGCAGUCAAUUUCUCACCUUCUGGAGAAAUAUGAUGUCCUUAAUUGGGUGUCAUAUGGAACCAGAACUUUUACCUUGAAAAAAUUAGAGUGUUUAAAGCAGGCUUAUUGCUCGAAUACAUUAGCAUGGAAUAAUAAAAUAGGACGGCAUGGUUCUAUUUUGUUGGUUUCUAGGAUCACCGUAAUGAUUAAUAGGGAUAGUUGGGGGCAUUAGUAUUCAAUUGUCAGAGGUGAAAUUCUUGGAUUUAUUGAAGACUAACUACUGCGAAAGCAUUUGCCAAGGAUGUUUUCAUUAAUCAAGAACGAAAGUUAGGGGAUCGAAGACGAUCAGAUACCGUCGUAGUCUUAACCAUAAACUAUGCCGACUAGGAUCAGACGAUGUUAAUUUUUUAUGACUCGUUUGGCACCUUACGGGAAACCAAAGUGUUGGGUUC
rnacentral:rRNA from 1 species